UACGCGAGGUGCAGAAGAGCAGGCGGAGGGUCGGACAUCAGCAUCAUCAAAUGAUGAUCAAUAAAAUCGAUUUCUGCAUGAAGACCGUACAGGACCGGCUGUAUAUAUAGCUAUAUAGCUGAACAAGUCAAUAUAAAACAAAAACUUUGUCGUCGAGCUCAGGAUGUGCUUAUAGGCUACAGGAUUAGCACACACAUAGAAAGACACAGGGUGAGAGAGAGAGAGAGAGAGAGAGAGAGAGAGACGUGUGGAGCUACCGCCUGGCUGCAACACCUCCUCACCUACACGUUUGAUGAGGAUGCCGAAGAUGCUGCGUUAUAACCCAGAGCCGAUUUUAAGCGAAUGGAGUCCAGAGAGGAACAUCUGCUAGAAGAGAGUUGGCUCUGGUGAGUGAUUAUGGUGAGGUAUGGUGAAAUGUAACAUGAGGUAUGUGUGAGUUUACCGUUUAGUGAACAGAGUGAGGCCUACAUGUGCACCCUCACCUUACACACACCAUGUACACACUCACCUUACACACACCAUGUACACACUCACCUUACACACACCACGUGCACACAAGGCUUACACACACCAUGUACACACAAGGCUUACACACACCAUGUACACACACACCAUGUGCACACUCAACUUACACACACCUUGUACACAUUCACCUUACACACACCAUGUACACACUCACUUUCACACACACACCAUGUACACACUCACCUUACACACACCAUGUAUACACGAGGCUUACACACACCUUGUACACACACACCUUACACACAUCAUGUGCACAUGAGGCUUACACACACCUUGUACACACGAGACUUACACACACCACGUGCACACUCACCUUAAACACGCCAUGUACACACUCACCUUACACACUCAGUGAACACACUCACCUUACACACACCAUGUACACACUCACCAUACGCACACCAUGUACACACGAGGCUUACAUACACCAUGUACAUACUCACCUUACACACACCAUAUGCACACUCACCCUACAUACACCAUGUACACACGAGGCUUACACACAAUGUGCACAUUCACACACACCAUAUACAAACGAGGCUUACACACACCACGUGCACACUCAUCCUACAUACAUCAUGCACACACUCACCAUACACACACCAUGUACACACGAGUCUUACACACACCAUAUACACACGAGGCUCACACACACCAUGUACACACGAGUCUUACACACACCAUGUACACAUUCACCUUACACACACCAUAUACACACGAGGCUCACACACAUUAUAUACACACGAGUCUCACACACACCGUGUACACAUUAAUCUUGCACACACCAUGUAGCCUACGCACGAGUGUUACAGUCAGCACAGUUAGAUGUCUAUGAGCUGGUUAAGAUAAUAUUUUAAUUGCAUUUUUAGAUCGCAGACGAUUUCAUGAUUUGAUAUAUUUGUUUGUAAUAUUUCUGAAAUUGUAAGAAUGUCUUUUCUAUUCCUAAUAUAACGUUGGAAGGUCUAAAGCCCAGCUAUAAAAUUAAAAAUUAAACUUUUAAAACUUUAAUUAUUAUUAUUAUUAUUAUUAUUAUUAUUAUUAUUAUUAUUAUUUAAUGUGUGAUUAUAUUUACAGUGUGAGAUUUCUGUUUCUGUGUUUGAAAAAUAGGCCAAGAUUAGGCUUUAUGUGAAAAUAAACCUGUCUGAAAUAAUGUCUGAAAUUUCCUACAGCCCCAAUUUUUUCUUUUUCUUUUCUUUUUUUUUUUUUUUUUUUUUACGUAUUACGAAUUUAUGAAUUAUUGGAAAUGGAUCAUCGUGCUACGAUGUAAAAACAGAAGAAUUGUACAAUACUGGUUCAAACAUCUAUACCUUGACAGCUAAUUAAUAAAUAAGAGUUGUGAAUAUUAAUUUAUCGCAGUCUACAUAUAGGAUAUUUUUAGAACUGAAUCCUGAGAAGCCUGGAACAUGGGCAGAACAUGCAGGUCCACUGCUCUGAUGGCUGCAUUGCUUCACCGUGUUAAAGAUGAGCUUCCCUUUUAUUCAUAUAUCUCUGAUUUCCUUUCAGACUCCAGGCCGCGACUCCUCUGUUUGCUGUCACUCGGGCAGAAGCAGCAGUAAGCACGCAGAGGGGUUGGUUUCUGUCUUUGGUUAUCUAGCUGUAUGAGUAUAAAAACAUGUCAUAAAGCUAGAUAACCGAAAGCAGAAAUGAAUCUCAAUCUCGCGUCCAUCCUGUGAAUCUCCCAAACCAUGCGACUUCUGCACAGGUUUAACAGAGACCCGUUCCAAUCUGCAACAUGCCGUAAUGAAGUAACGUGUCAUGAACUUAGGCAGCAUGCUGUACAGAAGAAGUGACAGAUACAUAGAUGCUGAGAGGAAAACGCCUUUGUCCGUGACUGCCAUAUUUCUCCUCAUGCCAAGAGAUCUCCAGUGCCAUCUGGGGGAUAUGGGGCACUGUGCCUGUGCCACCGGCGAUGAAGCCCCAUCAUCUCCCUGGAGCCUUGGCACGAUGAAUGAGGAAGGCAGGGAGGCCAUCUUGAGGGAGAUCUCACUGAAACAGCUAAGAUGGCUGGACUGGCACACGAGAGAUGGCUGUGUAUUAAACUGCACAUUCUUGAUGUGAUAACUGCAGCAGAGGACACUGGAAAACAUGAUGCAGAAUGACAUUUUUCUUGCCAAGAAAAAAUAUAUAAUAUUUGUAUUGAGAAAAUGUGAAGCUUUUAAUAUUGACAGUCAAAUGCAUGUAUUAACACACACACAGUGUCACAAUCUGUACAGGAACUCUUGGCUUAUUGUUUUAUUUUGAGUUUGUAUCCUAUUUAUUAGACUGUAACUUCUUUGUUCUGCAAAAACAUUUGUAUGUUUUUCACUUUGUUUUACAUAUAAGAUAUGUGAAUAAAAGCUAUUUCAGAAA